AUGAAUUUGGUGACUAUUGCCCUUUUUCUAUGUGUUGGUGUUCUAUAUGACCGACAUAAGACUCGACUUGUUAGAUAUUAUGGAGGUUUAGUGAGCACCAUGCCGAAUUUCUCUACCAUUUUCUUCUUUUUCACUUUAGCCAAUAUGAGUUUACCCGGCACUAGCAGCUUUAUCGGGGAAUUUCUAAUCUUAGUAGGAGCUUUCCAAAGAAAUAGCUUAGUAGCCACAUUAGCUGCGCUUGGGAUGAUUUUAGGCGCGGCGUAUUCCCUUUGGCUAUAUAAUCGUGUGGUUUCUGGAAAUUUAAAACCCGAUUUCCUCUAUAAAUUCUCCGAUCUAAAUGGCAGAGAAGUUUCCAUAUUUCUACCUUUUCUUGUUGGAGUGGCGACCGUCCGUUGA
rnacentral:rRNA from 1 species